CCUCUUCUCUCCACUUCAGAUCUGUUCCAGCAUCCUGCAGCUGUGUCUCAGGGAGCUGUUUGAGUUCAGAUUCAUGCAGACGGAUCCAAACUGGGCCAACUUCUUCUACAACUCAGACACCAACAAGGUUGUUCUUUUGGAUUUUGGAGCAUGCAGAAGUUACCCAGAAUCCUUCACAGACGACUACAUACAGGUGAUUUAUGCAGCUUCUGUCGGCGAUCGAGCCACCGUUCUUUCCAAAUCCAAGGACCUGAAAUUCCUGACAGGCUUCGAGGCCAAGGUAGUUUUAUUUUAGUCGCUGCUGCUGCUUAUUUUUGAUAUGCUUUAUCUGUUUUUGUCUCUUUUGUGUUCUCAGUUUGUUUGCAUUCAGCACUGUUUCACUGCAGCGCACAGCCCUUAUGCUCUUACCCCGUUUCACUAUGUGUUUACUAAAGAAGUCUCCCUUUUGUUUUCAGUAGAUGAAUGCAAUAUGAUGCUUACCUGAUUUAUAACUUUGACUCAUUUCAAGUUAAAGGGUCUCUUGUCAUGCACCUGAGGACUGCUUGCAGAGUUUC